AUUGAACGCUGGCGGCAGGCCUAACACAUGCAAGUCGAACGGUAACAGGAAGCAGCUUGCUGCUUCGCUGACGAGUGGCGGACGGGUGAGUCAUGUCUGGGAAGCUGCCUGAUGGAGGGGGAUAACUACUGGAAACGGUAGCUAAUACCGCAUAAUGUCGCAAGACCAAAGAGGGGGACCUUCGGGCCUCUUGCCAUCGGAUGUGCCCAGAUGGGAUUAGCUUGUUGGUGGGGGAACGGCUCACCAAGGCGACGAUCCCUAGCUGGUCUGAGAGGAUGACCCGCCACACUGGAACUGAGACACGGUCCAGACUCCUACGGGAGGCAGCAGUGGGGAAUAUUGCACAAUGGGGGCAAGCCUGAUGCAGCCAUGCCGCGUGUAUGAAGAAGGCCUUCGGGUUGUAAAGUACUUUCAGCGGGGAGGAGGGGAGUAAAGUUAAUACCUUUGCUCAUUGACGUUACCCGAAGAAGAAGCACCGGCUAACUCCGUG
rnacentral:rRNA from 1 species